CCCUUAGAUGUUCUGGGCCGCACGCACGCUACACUGACGAAUGCAACGAGCUUAUAACCUUGGCCGAAAGGUCUGGGUAAUCUCCAAAUUUCGUCGUGAUGGGGAUAGAUUAUUGCAAUUAUUAAUCUUCAACGAGGAAUGCCUAGUAAGCGCAAGUCAUCAGCUUGCGUUGAUUACGUCCCUGCCCUUUGUACACACCGCCCGUCGCUCCUACCGAUUGAAUGGUCCGGUGAAGCGUUCGGACCGUGGCCUUUGGACGGUUCGCCGUCUGUUGGCUGCGGGAAGUUCGUUAAACCUUAUCAUUUAGAGGAAGGAGAAGUCGUAACA
rnacentral:rRNA from 1 species